rnacentral:rRNA from 1 species
GAACACGUAAUUCAUUACGAAGUUUAAUUCAUUGAGCAUCAAACUUUUAAAUUGAAGAGUUUGAUCAUGGCUCAGAUUGAACGCUGGCGGCAGGCCUAACACAUGCAAGUCGAACGGUAACAGGAAGCAGCUUGCUGCUUUGCUGACGAGUGGCGGACGGGUGAGUAAUGUCUGGGAAACUGCCUGAUGGAGGGGGAUAACUACUGGAAACGGUGGCUAAUACCGCAUAACGUCGCAAGACCAAAGAGGGGGACCUUCGGGCCUCUUGCCAUCAGAUGUGCCCAGAUGGGAUUAGCUUGUUGGUGAGGUAACGGCUCACCAAGGCGACGAUCCCUAGCUGGUCUGAGAGGAUGACCAGCCACACUGGAACUGAGACACGGUCCAGACUCCUACGGGAGGCAGCAGUGGGGAAUAUUGCACAAUGGGCGCAAGCCUGAUGCAGCCAUGCCGCGUGUAUGAAGAAGGCCUUCGGGUUGUAAAGUACUUUCAGCGGGGAGGAAGGUGUUGUGGUUAAUAACCGCAGCAAUUGACGUUACCCGCAGAAGAAGCACCGGCUAACUCCGUGCCAGCAGCCGCGGUAAUACGGAGGGUGCAAGCGUUAAUCGGAAUUACUGGGCGUAAAGCGCACGCAGGCGGUCUGUCAAGUCGGAUGUGAAAUCCCCGGGCUCAACCUGGGAACUGCAUUCGAAACUGGCAGGCUUGAGUCUUGUAGAGGGGGGNNNNNNNNNNNNNNNNNNNNGAAAUGCGUAGAGAUCUGGAGGAAUACCGGUGGCGAAGGCGGCCCCCUGGACAAAGACUGACGCUCAGGUGCGAAAGCGUGGGGAGCAAACAGGAUUAGAUACCCUGGUAGUCCACGCCGUAAACGAUGUCUACUUGGAGGUUGUGCCCUUGAGGCGUGGCUUCCGGAGCUAACGCGUUAAGUAGACCGCCUGGGGAGUACGGCCGCAAGGUUAAAACUCAAAUGAAUUGACGGGGGCCCGCACAAGCGGUGGAGCAUGUGGUUUAAUUCGAUGCAACGCGAAGAACCUUACCUGGUCUUGACAUCCACGGAAGUUUUCAGAGAUGAGAAUGUGCCUUCGGGAACCGUGAGACAGGUGCUGCAUGGCUGUCGUCAGCUCGUGUUGUGAAAUGUUGGGUUAAGUCCCGCAACGAGCGCAACCCUUAUCCUUUGUUGCCAGCGGUCCGGCCGGGAACUCAAAGGAGACUGCCAGUGAUAAACUGGAGGAAGGUGGGGAUGACGUCAAGUCAUCAUGGCCCUUACGACCAGGGCUACACACGUGCUACAAUGGCGCAUACAAAGAGAAGCGACCUCGCGAGAGCAAGCGGACCUCAUAAAGUGCGUCGUAGUCCGGAUUGGAGUCUGCAACUCGACUCCAUGAAGUCGGAAUCGCUAGUAAUCGUGGAUCAGAAUGCCACGGUGAAUACGUUCCCGGGCCUUGUACACACCGCCCGUCACACCAUGGGAGUGGGUUGCAAAAGAAGUAGGUAGCUUAACCUUCGGGAGGGCGCUUACCACUUUGUGAUUCAUGACUGGGGUGAAGUCGUAACAAGGUAACCGUAGGGGAACCUGCGGUUGGAUCACCUCCUUACCUUAAAGAAGCGUACUUUGCAGUGCUCACACAGAUUGUCUGAUGAAAA